AAAGAGGUCUUUUAAUUUCUCUGUGGAUUCCCCACAGUUCCUAGAAGACAGGGUCUCCUGGAACAUGAAUCCUAUUCUUCUGGGUUCCAAAGGAAGGAAUAGACUUGACUUGUGAACUGUGAAUCCAGCUGGCGAGCUCCAUCACACCAAUGGCUGUAAGGGUUGAAAGCAACACGGUUCUACUACCAUUCUACAUCAUACAUCACUUCCAUGAAGAUGUAUCUGAUGGUCACAAGGAUUUUAAAUGAAAGGAUUUUAAGUCAAUGAAUGGCUACUAAGACUGCUGAAAACAGCCCAAUAUAUUACGAUCCUGGCCCUGCCACAUUCCAGAUCACCACAAUCGCAGAAGUUCUAUCGAAUUAAGCUUUCACAGUCACCUCUGGCAAGCAGGGAUCCUGAGUUGAAAGAGUUAAGAAAGAGAAGACAUCAAGUGGUGGUGCCCUUCUUUAACAGCAUCAUCAUAUCACUUCUGAGCUUCUUUUCCCACUAAAUUAUCUUUAUGGAGUGAAAACCGUAUCCCCUGAGAGUGUCGCUCAAGACCACAACACAAUGUCUAAGUGAUGAUAAAUGGUCCCUGGCCAUGGAAGGAAACAGCUUGACUUCUCUUUGGUGACCAAGAGAUUGUCCUGCAUCCCUUACAUCACUAAGAAC